AAUAUUACUUGUUAGGUGAGGCUCCUAUAUGAAUAUAGGCUGCUGCCCAAAAACGUCCAGAGACGCCAAUGGGUAUAACAGGUACGGUCGGAAUAAGGCCUACCCAAUGCAGCUGAUUGAUUUUUAAUCUACGUCAUAUAGUGCUAAAGCCAGGAUGAGGAGUAAAAUU
rnacentral:sRNA from 1 species